rnacentral:lncRNA from 1 species
GCCCCUCGAUCACAAGGCUAGUCUGUCAGGUCAGCCAAAUCCACUGAAGCCAUACUGGAAGAACCUUGUGACCCUCUCACAAGAGCUCCCACAGCGCCCAGCGCCUGGCAUGUGCUCCACAGACACACGAAGAAAUGAAGGCGGGUACAGGAGAGGAAGGGGACAAGAGGACAGAGGAAGGCUGUGGAUCCGGUCGUGGGAAGCAGAGAAGACUGCUAGGCCUGAGCUGACUCCCCUGGAAACCCCAGACUCCAGUGACGUGCUUCUGGAACCUGCUCAGACAAAGUUAGAUAUUUGAAGUGUUUCAUGAUCACGAUAAGAAUUACCACCACCCACAGUAUCCAUCGCAGCGGGCAGAGCCCGUGGCAGUGAGCAUGCAGCUCGGCUCCCCAGCUCUGGUCCCAUCUCUACUGCUCUGGAGCUAUGGCACUUGGAAAAGUUUCUUCGCUUCUCAAGCCUCAGUGUCC